CCUACGGGUGGCAGCAGUGGGGGAUAUUGGGCAAUGGGCGCAAGCCUGACCCAGCAACGCCGCGUGAAUGAAGAAGUCUUUCGGUUUGUAAACUUCUUUUCUCAGGGACGAAAGAAGUGACGGUACCUGAGCAAUAAGCCCUGGCUAACUACGUGCCAGCAGCCGCGGUAAUACGUAGGUGGCAAGCGUUAUCCGGAUUUAUUGGGUGUAAAGGGCGUGUAGGCGGUUACGUAAGUCAGGUGUGAAAAGUCAGGGCUCAACCCUGAGCCUGCAUUUGAAACUGUGUUACUUGAGUGCUGGAGAGGCAAGCGGAAUUCCGAGUGUAGCGGUGAAAUGCGUAGAUAUAAGGAGGAACACCAGUGGCGAAGGCGGAUUGCUGGACAGUAACUGACGUUGAGGCGCGAAAGCGUGGGGAGCAAACAGGAUUAGAUACCCGAGUAGUC
rnacentral:rRNA from 1 species